rnacentral:lncRNA from 1 species
GGGUGGUUUCUGUUUGGAAGAACUAUCAAUAACAGGAAGUUACUAAAUUAGCAAAUCUUUGGUUUAGCCUCUUCUUAAAAAGCUUGCCAUUUUCUUUUGAUAUGUCCAGCGUCUCUAUAAUAGUGGCACAAGGAGCUUUUAAUAGGUCUGGGUGACAAUGGUGAUGGCAGAUGUCAUUGACAUUGAUACUGGUUGCUGACAUAGCC